rnacentral:rRNA from 1 species
UACGUAGGGGGCAAGCGUUGUCCGGAUUUAUUGGGCGUAAAGCGCACGCAGGCGGUCUCUUAAGUUUUGAGUGACAGGUGGUGGCUCAACUACCACAGGCCUUGGAAAACUGGGAGACUUGAGGACUUCAGAGGGAUGCGGAAUUCCAGGUGGAGCGGUGAAAUGCGUAGAGAUCUGGAAGAACACCAAAGGCGAAGGCAGCAUUCUGGGAAGUAACUGACGGCUCAUGUGCGAAAGCGUGGGGAGCAACAGG